rnacentral:rRNA from 1 species
AUUGAACGCUGGCGGCAGGCCUAACACAUGCAAGUCGAACGAGUGGCGGACGGGUGAGUAAUGUCGGGGAAACUGCCUGAUGGAGGGGGAUAACUACUGGAAACGGUAGCUAAUACCGCAUACCAUCAGAUGUGCCCAGAUGGGAUUAGCUUGUUGUUGGGGUAACGGCUCACCAAGGCGACGAUCCCUAGCUGGUAAGAGAGGAUGAUCAGCCACACGGGAACUGAGACACGGUCCAGACUCCUACGUGAGUGAGCAGUGGGGAAUAUUGCACAAUGGGCGAAAGCCUGAUGCAGCCAUGCCGCGUGUAUGAAGAAGGCCUUCGGGUUGUAAAGUUCUUUCAGCGGGGAAGCGUUACCCGCAGAAGAAGCACCGGCUAACUCCGUGCCAGCAGCCGCGGUAAUUC